GACAGAGGGUGCAAACGUUGUUCGGAAUUACUGGGCGUAAAGCGCGUGUAGGCGGCAGGGUAUGUCGGAUGUGAAAUCCCGUGGCUCAACCACGGAAGUGCACCCGAAACUACCCAGCUGGAGUCUCGGAGAGGAAGGCGGAAUUCCAGGUGUAGCGGUGAAAUGCGUAGAUAUCCACAGGAACUCCGGUGGCGAAGGCGGCACGCUGGACCUUUUCUGACGCUGAGGCGCGAAAGCCAGGGGAGCGAACGGG
rnacentral:rRNA from 1 species